rnacentral:rRNA from 1 species
AGCGAACGCUGGCGGCAGGCCUAACACAUGCAAGUCGAACGAACCUUUCGGGGUUAGUGGCGGACGGGUGAGUAACACGUGGGAACGUGCCUUUAGGUUCGGAAUAACUCAGGGAAACUUGUGCUAAUACCGAAUGUGCCCUUCGGGGGAAAGAUCUAUCGCCUUUAGAGCGGCCCGCGUCUGAUUAGCUAGUUGGUUGAGGUAAUGGCUCACCAAGGCGACGAUCAGUAGCUGGUCUGAGAGGAUGAUCAGCCACAUUGGGACUGAGACCCGGCCCAAACUCCUACGGGAGGCAGCAGUGGGGAAUCUUGCGCAAUGGGCGAAAGCCUGACGCAGCCAUGCCGCGUGAAUGAUGAAGGUCUUAGGAUUGUAAAAUUCUUUCACCGGGGACGAUAAUGACGGUACCCGGAGAAGAAGCCCCGGCUAACUUCGUG